rnacentral:rRNA from 1 species
CAGUAGCCGCGGGAAUACGUAGGUGGCAAGCGUUGUCCGGAAUUAUUGGGCGUAAAGCGCGCGCAGGCGGUUUCUUAAGUCUGAUGUGAAAGCCCCCGGCUUAACCGGGGAGGGUCAUUGGAAACUGUGUAACUAGAGUACUGGAGAGGUAAGCGGAACUACAAGUGUAGAGGUGAAAUGCGUAGAUAUUAGGAGGAACACCUGUGGCGAAAGCGGCUUUCUGGACGAAAACUGACGCUGAGGCGCGAAAGCCAGGGGAGCGAACGGGAUUAGAGACCCCAGUAGUCCCUGUCUCUUAUAC